UUUUAACCAACAUGGUCCACGACAAGACUCGUUCAAUUUCCCCGACAAUUUAUGUGGCCAGAGACCAUUUGAUUUUCUUAGUUCUUUCUUUGGAAUUUAAUUAGUACAACGACAGAUGAAGCGGCAGCUGCUGUGGUUCAUCAGUACUAGGAUAAAUUACUCCCCUCGAAACAUAGCACCCCCUUAGAUAACCGGUGAACAAUCUCCGAGGUCAGCAUAGUUGAUCGGAGCUUCUGAGAACUUCCGCUCAGGAGUCUGAUGCCACGACGCUUAAUACCGAACCGCUCUACGGAUCUUGCAUAAAGUUUCGAACGUCUCCAGGAGGCCGGACCUCCGCACUCUUGCCCCUAGACUAUAAUUUGCACUGGUAACCGUGUACUAUAGAACUUACUAAUGGUUAGUCGAAACCGAGUGACGCUGUCGUAGAUAGAAUCGAAUCAAUUCCUCUUUUUCUCCCUUCAUUCAAGCAUCCGUUGGUCGGAGGCCCAUCUGCAGCACGUGAUGCACGAUCCUUCCUAGCCCUAGCAAAGACGACAAAGAUGAUGAUGUGUGGCAUGAUGUGGGAUCUUUCACAAGCCCUAGGGAAAGACCAGAAAGAUGUUUGUUACCGUGUGAAGUCGCGAGUCGUCUGUACAUGCGCAGCAGCCCGUUCGAAGUCGCUAAAUGCACGUGAACGAUGUGGUAAGCGAGCACGGAGCCUUGGAAGCCGAAUCAGGAAUCCGCUUCGCUCCAUAUAUGGAAAUGCCAACGCGCUAAUCGAGAACCCGUCUUCUGGGGAUGUCGUGGGUCAUUGGUAUUCGAAUGCAGUGCAAAAGGAUUGCAGCUAUAUAUGUACGUAUACGCGAG
rnacentral:lncRNA from 1 species